UUUUUAGAUGCACAGAGUUAUAUAUAAUUUGAAAUCUGUAAACACUACUAAUUGAUCACCACCACAAGCUUAGUCGCCAUCCAUUACCAUAAAGAGGACUCCCUUCACUCAUUUUUGUUCGGCCCCAACUUCUUCCCCUUUUGGUAACCACUUAUCUGUUUUCUGUAUCUAUGAGUUUGUUUUUGUUUUAUUUGUUCCUUUUUUUAGUUUAGUCUUGUUUUAGAUUCCAUAUAUAUGUGAAAUCAUAUGGUAUUUGUCUUAAUCAAUCUGACAUAUUUCACAUAGGGAAAUACCUUCAAGAUCUAUCCAUGGUGCUGCCAUUGACAGGAUUUCACUCUUCUUAUGGCCAAGCAGUAGUCCACUGUGUGUGUGUGUGUGUGUGUGUGUGUGUGUACACAUGUGUGAUAUAUAUAUAUAUAUAUGCACAAAUAUAAAAAAACACAUCUUCUUUAUCCAUUCAUCCUUCAACAGACACUUUGGUUGUUUCCUUUUAUUGUUGUAAUGAACAUACAGGUGCAUAUACCUUCUCAAGUUACUGUCUUUGUGUUCUUAGGAUAAAUACCCAGAUAAAUACCCAGAGUAGCAUGGCUGGGUCAUAUGGUAGUUCUGUUCUUAAUGUUUUGAGGAAUCUCCAACAUCUCUUAAAAAUAUCUUUUAAAGAUACUUAUAUGCACACCAUCAAUCACUACCAUGAGUAUGGAAAAUCUUAUAGUUAUAACUUAGUAACAUUUUAAAGCAUGAUAUAGGUAUUAAACUCAUUGGCGUUACUAUAAAUAAUUCAGAGAGGUAAAAAACCCCACAAAAUUAUAAUUAAAUAUUUCAAUUUAAGUGUAACUUAAAUGACUUUGCUAGCCUAAUAUUAGCUUUCUCACUGCCAACAAUCAGUAUUAGGGGUUAAGAAGAAAUUAACAUCACAGUAGGUCACAGUCAUCAACCCUAUUGUUUGAAAGUUUAUUACUAAAAUUCCUCAAUGCUAACAUAUUGCAUUUAUCUUCUUUAAUACAAAGAAGAUAACCACAGAAGAAAUCAAUGUAAGCAAUGUAUCAUUUUUAGAAUAACCGGUUUGAUUCCAAAUUGCUGAUUAGUUCUGCUAAGAGAACAGGGUCAUUAUGAACUAUUAAAGGGCUCAGUUAUUUGUAACAGACAUUUUCAGGGUCAGAGUUAGUGAGAAGGAGCAAUAUUCCUGUGCUAUAUAAAACAGGUGUAGCAGUUUUGAAAUCCAUAGGGAAAUUAAAAUCUAUGGAGGUACUUUUUGCAUUUAUAUUUCAUUUGGAGAGCAGUCCUCUCAUUUUUUAAAAAUGUAAGGCUUCAUUCAGAUUAUGCAUUUAUUCAACAAGCAUUUAUUGAGUGUCCAGCACUAAACUGAGAGCUGAAAAAUGAAUAAUACUUGUCUCCUCUCAAGGUGCUGCAUUUCCAAAUCAAUUUAUUUUUAGCCCAGUCUUCAUUUUGAUAAAGCGGGAUUCCUAUACCAAUAUUUAAAAUUAUUUAAAUUCUAAAACACAUGAAACAAUGUUAUAAAAAAGAAAUAACAUGUGAAUUACUCAUAUGCCUCUUAACUACUGAAAAUAUAACAGGAGCACCCUCUAUGUCACUCCAUCAUAGACUUUCUGAAUUAAUGUUUCUUGAUAUGGGGCUUGGAGUCUAUAUUUUUCAGAUGUUAUAAACUAAAAAGUUCAAAAGCCUCUAAUAAAAUAAAGCAAUAACCUCUUAGGAACAGUAAACAUAAACAAGAAGGAUUGCUUUAUUUCCCCCUUUCUUUCCUUUGUACUGUAUCUGUAAGAUAUUAAACGAACCUGUUGUGGUAAUCAUUUCAAAAUCUACAUAAAUCAAACCAUCACACUUAUGACUUAAACUUAUACAGUGAUGUGUGUUAAUUAUUUCUCAGUAAAACUGGAGUGUGCGAGGAUUGCUUUAAUUUGGCAUUUACUAUCAAAUACUUUCAUAAAGCUAUACAAAAUAAAUAGAAAUAUACCUCAUUACAAAAAAAAAUUAAACAGUGAAAUUAAAAUGGGAAUCCACUCAAAUUUUUAAUUCCUUUUUUUUGUCCCAUGGCACAUGGAGUUCCUGAUCAUCUGAGCCAGAACGGGGACUUAUGCCACAGCUGUGGCAAUGCAGGAUCCUUAACUCACUGCACUGGGCCUGAGAGCAAAACCACAUCCCUGCUGCUGCAGAGAUACCAUCAACCCAUUAUGCCACAGCUGGGACUCCUUAAUUCCUCUUUAAUAGAAACCAUACAAAGAGAAGAUAAUAUUUUAUGCCAAAAAAUUUAUGCUAGAAUCUUAUUUUUAAUAUACUAUAAAAUAAAUCCUUAACAUUUUGCCUAAAUAUUGCAAACUUAAAACCUUAUAUAUUUUUCCAUAUUCUUUUCUAAGUCAAUGACAUUUUUCUUAUCCCUUUCCUUCUUCCUUCUUAUUCUUUAGAAUUUACUUAAAGAUCACAGUGUUUAGUAUCUGUAAGUUUUGUAAAGGCAUUUGGACAAAAGCAGUAACAUUUUCACUUGAAAUAAUAUCAAAUAAGUUUGAAGAGUGUGUUUGUGGUAUGUAUGUAUUUGUGUGUGUACAUGUGCAUACACAUAUAUUUUUUUCCUUUGGUUAUUCCCCUAAAUAAGAGUCCAGAUGUUAUUGAUAAUGGUAAUGGAGAAAGUCUUAUUUGAGAGUAAAAAACUUUCUGGACCUCUGACACCAAAAUAGUAUCAUUUGGGUUUCUAGGAAAAAUAUGGAAUCUAAUAUUCAUUAAACACCUUCAAUAUGUCAAGAAUUUUAUUAAUCUUAACCUAAGUUGAAUGUAUUCUUUAUAAGUUAUAUCCUGUUGUGAGAAGUGAAACAUAAUUUCCACACCUAGAAAAGAUGCGUAUUUUCUUUGCUCCUUGUCAGUUUAAGGUGCGGACAAUAGAUCAGCUAAUUUCCUUUGUCAACUGUUGAUCAGCAGUGUCUGCUUAGAACACAAUGAUAAAAAGGCUGGUUUCUACAGGAUCAACCUGACUGGUGAUGUCUGGGUUCCUUAUAAGAGCAGGUGACAAGAGUGCAUACUUGCUGUCUCUGAUUUAGAUACUUCAAACAAAGCAGGCUAUCUGCCUCUUAUGCUUAAUUCCAUAAUUCAAGUUCAAUGAGCAGAAUAUACCUUACAGACUCUGCAAACAAUACAGGAACGUUUUUACAGACAUGCAGUUUGGUAUUACUUUGGUAUUACCCUUACGCAUGUAUUUAACAGUUUACUACAGCUUUCCAUAGAUAUAUUUAAAAAUAGAUAUAUAGAGCAAUAAAUAUGAAAAGACAAAGCUAAAAUAUUAUUAAAUAAGAAAUGACAGCUCUAAAAUUAAAAACCAAUAUUUUAUUGAUUUAAUCUAUUACUAACAGCUGAGUUGAGUUUACUAUUUCUGUAUGCUUUCACUCUGAAUAAAAAGACUCUUAGCUGAGUAAGAUCAAUGAUUUAUCAUAGAUCACAUGGAUCCAUAACUUACUCUAGGCUUCAUAUCCCCAUUAACAGGAGCACUUGUGAAAUACAAGACAAUUUCUUUAAUGAUGGUCAAUCAAAGUAUAUAGAUGAGAACUUAGAAGUUCAUAUCAUAAAAAUCUAAGUUUAACUUAGAAGCUAUAAAGAGCCAAAGAACAAUAGGUCUUAACAUAAAAUUGUUACUUCCAUUGCCUCAUGUACUUUAGAACUAAAAAUAAAAUUCGAACAUCUUCCCACGGCCUUACAGGUCAUACAUGAUACAGUCCUGGCCACCCUUCUAAUAUUAGCACUCAACAGGCUCCUAAAGGUUUGAAGUUACCUCCGAUUUCCUGUGUUAGGAAAGUUUGUUCCAGCCUCAGGGCUUGUGCAUUUCUUACUUCCCUGCCUAAAUGGCUCUCCCACAAAUUUUCAUUAGAAGGGCAUAUCUUGUCACCUAGGUCUCAGCUCAAAUGACACAUCCUCAGAGAGCUCUGACCUGACCUUCCCUUGUCCUCAAUCAUUUUCAGUCUCAUCAUCUUGUUAAUCUUAACCACUAUUUUAAAAUAUCUUAGACUUUCAGUUACUAAUUGUUAUUGUCUGUCUUCUUUCAUAAAAAAGUAAGUAAGUUCUAGGCAGGCAUGACUUAUGUCAACAUUGUUUAUUCUUAUAUCAUCAGAGGUGAAACCAGUGCCUAGCCCAGGGGCUGGGAAAACACUUACUCAAGAACUGAGGCAGUAAAUAAAAGAAGGAACAACUGAAUAUGAAAGCUUUUCACAUUUUAUUUUGUCACCAGAGUGUCAUCUAUUCUGAGAAAGUAAUGUAUUAGACAAAAGCAACACUGAGCUGUAUAGAGCUGAUUCUUCUACCAUGUGAUCCAGCAAUCCCAUUCCCGGGCAUAUAACCAGACAAAACUUUCAUUGAAAAAGAUACAUGAACCCCUAUGUUCAUUGCAGCACUAUUCAAAACAGCCCCACACAUGGAGACAACCUAAAUGUCUAUCAACAGAUGAAUGGAUUAAGAAGAUGUGGUAUGCAAUGGAAUACUACUCAGCCAUAAAAAAGAACAAAAUAAUACCAUUUGGAGCAACCUUGUUGCAAUUAGAAACUCUCAUACUAAAUGAGGUAAGUCAGAAAGAUAAAGACAAAUACCACAUGAUAUCACUUAUAUGUAGAUCCUAAAAUAUGGCACAAAUGAACCUAUCUACAGAAAAGAAACUAACUCAUGGACAUGGAGAAUAGACCUGUGGCUGCCAAGGGAGAGGGGGAGAGAGUGAGAUGGACUGGGAACUUGGGGUUAGUAAAUACAAACUAUUGCAUUUGGAGGGGAUAAGCAAUGAGAUCCUGCUGUAUAGCACAGGGAACUAUUAUCUAAUCACCUGCGAUGGAACAUGAUGUAGGAUACUAUGGAGAAAAAGAAAAAAAAUAUAUAUAUAUAUGACUGGCCAUUUGGUCAUAUAGCAGAAAUUGACAGAACACUGUAAAUCAACUAUAAUAAAACAUUUAAAAAUUAAUAACUUUAUGAUGCAUUUUUUUUCUCUUGUUUAGCAUCUUGGCUCUGUAUCAUUGAUAACUCUUGCUGAGAGGCCCUUUGACUUCCCUCUUGACUUGGUUUGUGCUAACUUCCAGAAGUUUUAUUUUGUAAUGCUGUAUCACAAUAACCUCAAUUAGUGAACAAGAGUGUGCACAACUAUAAGAAUGAGGAUUUUCAACAAUAAUUGCUGGCAAGUUCUUUACUGUAAUAAUAAUAGUUAAGGUUGGUAUAAUAUGAUAUGACAUUAAUUCAGAAAAUGCACCUUUUUAAAUGUAGCUUUUCCUUUUUUGUCAGCACUGGGAGUGUACCCAACUAUGGAUAAUAGCAUUUUAUGUUAACUCUACCAUGUGUUAAUAUGAAAGAAGUAACUAGUAUGUCUGCAAAAUAAACAUCAACCUAAUAAAUGAUCCAAUUUUAAGAGUUUCAAAUUUUCUACAGUUUUAAAUUAAUGUAUAAUAGACUUGGUAUGAUUUUUAUAGUCUUAGAUACUGAACGUAUUUUGAAAUCUAUAAUUACCAUAAAGCAAUCCAAUAUUUAUCAAUUUUAGUUGUUAAAAGUAUUGUAUAAAAGAUUCUCUGCCCUCUAGAGUAUAUUAGGUAAGAUCAGGUUGUAUGUAAGAGACCAAACCCCAAAAUAAUUGAGAUAAAAACCUAUCAGAAGCUUAUUUCUCCCAAGUAAAAUAAGCCUGGAAAGGGUUGGUUUAGGGCUGCUCAGUGUGGCACUGGGUCAAGGACCCUUCUGCAAUGCUUCUCUAUCAUCCUUAGCAUGUGGUCUCCGUACCAUAUUCUGAGAUGGCUUGUCCAGUGCAAGCCUUGGGGCCCCAAUCCAACUAGGAAAUUGAAGAAAGGAUCAAAGGAUGAAAAAUUUCUCCGUUUAAAGGAAAACUUAAACUGACAUCUCAUUAGACAAUCACAUAGAUACAAAGGAAAUUUAGGACAUAGGGUCCUUAUUCUUUAUGAUCAUGUGCCUAGUUAAAUUUUAGAUAUUCCAAUUCUGAGGAAGAAAGAGAGAAAAGAUACUUAGGGAAAAAACAGAAGUCUCAACCACAAAGACAAAACACAGAAAAAGUGAAAGUUAAAUAUCUAAUAUUUCAAUUAUAAUUUUGGGUAGUAAAGCAUGGUAGAUCAGAGAUUAGAACUGUGUGAUUAAGGUGCCUGGAUUUAAUGCUUGGGUUCAUCUUUUAUUUGUAAUGCGAACUUUGGUAAGUAUUUAAACUUUCCAAGCCUCAGUUUCUCAUCCACCAAUAGAGAAUAAAAGUACCAUCUAUUCUAGAGUGCUACUGAGAUGAUUAAAUAGAAUGACAGACAUAAAGCUUGCUUACCUUUAUCACUCAAUAAGUACUGAUGAUGAAGACAACAAUGAUAGUGAUGCUAGUGGGUAAAAGUAGAAGUAAUGGUAUUAGUAUUAUUAUAAUUAAAAAAAUAUUAUGAUUACAAUUUGUGUCAGAGAAUUUUGGAGGGCUUCAUAGAAUAAGAAGUACUGAACAUAGACCAGGGUGGGCAAGCUGAAGUGACAAAGCUAAAAGGGAANNNNNNNNNNNNNNNNNNNNNAUACCUCAUGACCAAAUACAAAAUCAACCUCUGCAGUAUUCAAAUCUUCCAUAACUUCAUCACAAAAGGAUUUAAAGUACCUGGGAGACUGAAGCUGAUUGAAGUAAACAUUGUCUAAUGACUCAAUUUUUUAGUACAAUUAUUCUAUUGCAGAAUAUUACGUGAGUUGCUUCUUAGGAAAAUAUAAAUUAUUGAGCAUAUUUGUGAGAAUCCAGUCAAGUAAAAUCCUUAAAUAACACUUUGGAUGGAAAACUAAUGGCCUAUUUUUACUUUGAUAACAG
ensembl:lncRNA